AAACCCAGUGACACGGGGGAGAUGACAUACAAAAAGGGCAGGACCUAAGAAAGAUUAAGCUGCAGGCUCCCUGCCCAUAAAACAGGGUGUGAAAGGCAUCUCAGCAGCUGCCCCACCAUGGCUACCUGGGCCCUCCUGCUCCUUGCAGCCACGCUCCUGGGCAACCCAGGUCUGGUCUUCUCUCGUCUGAGCCCUGAGUACUAUGACCUGGCAACAGCCCACCUGUGUGACGAGGAGAAAUCCUGCCCGUGCCUGGCCCAGGAGGGCCCCCAGGGUGACCUGUUGACCAAAACACAGGAGCUGAGCUAUGACUGCAGAACCUGUCUGAGCAUAGUCCAAACACUGAAGGCUAUGGUGAAUCAGCCCACCCAGGUGAGGCCAAGGGGCUGCAGAGCCUCCUGUCUGCUGCUCAAUGGAGGGGCCAGCCUGUGACCAGGUUGGGGAUCGGGGAGCCCGGGGGCACCUUGCACAGUGAUACUGGGGAAGGGCUUCCUAGAAGGGAAUCUGUGAGUCCCCAUGUGUCUGUGGAUGAAUUUCAGAGAACUUGUGAAAUUGUUUCUGACUCUCUGGAACUGUGUAAGUCAGAUGGCAGAGUAUACAUGGUUUUCAUCAUGUAUCCUCAAAGAGGGCUUGUCCCAGAGAAGUUAGGAAUCUUCCCCUAAAGCCCUAACAUUUGUGUCCAAGGCAGAGUUUGAGAAGCUAGUUCCCCAAGAGGCCUGGGUCAGGACUGAUAAAUCCCAGAUCUGCUACUUCCA
rnacentral:sRNA from 1 species